CUCUCUGCGCCUGCGCCGGCGCUGUGAGCCCUUGCGAGGGCGGAGCUGCAUUCUUACCAGCACAGACAUCGCCAGGAGAGCAUCGCCAGGUCUGAGCUGAGUUCUCCUCUGCACAGACUUCGGAGAUACAGCGAAGGCGGAGCAGUGUUCUCCUCAGCACAGACCCAGGCGGGCCGGGGGCACCGCGAGGGCGGAGCUGCGUUCUGCUCAGCACAGACCCCGGGGACACCGCGAAGGCAGAGUAGCGUUCUCCUCACAACAGACCUUGGGGGCAGUGCCUCGCUUUGGGACAACUCGGGGCCGCAUAGACGGGAUCAUGGCACAAGUUGCAGUUUCCACCCUGCCCAUUGAAGAUGAGGAGUCCAUGGAAGAUGAGGAGUCAUUGAAGAUGAUUCUGCGGAGAGCAGGAUGGUGGUGACAUUGCUCAUAUCAGCUCUCGAGUCCACAGAUCAUGGCACAAGUUGCAGUUUCCACCCUGCCCAUUGAAGAUGAGGAGUCUGUUGAAGAUGAUGAGUCCUUGGAGAGCAGGAUGGUGGUGACAUUCCUGCCAGCUCUCGAGUCCACGAUUCUCUGUUUCACCGAAUCUGGAGUGCAAUGAUGGAGUUUUAGCUAACUGCAGCCUCAACCACCUGGGCUCAAGCAAUUCCCCCGCCUCCGCCUUCCAAGCAUCUGGGACUACAGAUGGGAUCUUGCUGCGUUGCCCACGAUGGUGUCAGACUCCUGGCCUCAAGUGAUCAUUCUGCCUCACCUUCCCAAAGUGCUUGGAUUAUACAUAGGGAGUUUAUAGCUUCAUUGCACUGUGUGUGGCAUUUGGGUCCUGUUUGGCAGCAAUGACUGCCUUUCUGUUUAGUGUCUGUGUGCUAUGAAGAGUGCACACAGGGGUCCAGAUGCAUCCUGUUUUGAGAAUGUUAAUGGAUACACCAGCUGCUGCUUUGGAUUUCACCCAUUGGUGGUAGUUGACCCGCUGUUUGUUUGGAAUGCAGACAAUUUAAGUGAAGACAUAUCCAUAUAUGUGGCUCUGUUACAGUGGUGAAAUCUACAACCAUAAGAAGGUGCAGCACCGUUUUGAAUUUGAAUACCAGACCAAAGUGGAUGGUGACAUAAUCCUUCAUCUUUAUGACAAAGGAGGAAUUGAGCAAACAAUUUGUAUGUUGGAUAGUGUGUUUACAUUUGUUUUACUGGAUUCUGCUAACAAGAAACUGUUCCUGGGCAGAGAUACAUAAGGAGUCAGACCUUUGUUUAAAGCAGUGACAGAAGAUGGAUUUUUGGCUGUGUGUUCAGAAGCUAAAGGUAAUAGUAAAUUUAUCUAUAGAUUUCCAUUAUUGUCUUGGUCGUGUGUUUUCUUUUAAAUUAUAUUUGAAAAUCUCUUAGCUAUCCAGAAUUUUACAAGUGACUAAUUAAUUUGUGAGUUCUUACCUUUUUUAAAAAAACAGAGGAGUUGUACUCUCCUUUUCAGCACUUAAAUUCUGUAAUCCUUGAAGGAUGGGUCUUUAGUGUAGUCAAUUAUUUUUGCUGUGCUAAUAUGCUCUGCAUCUAGCUUGAUCGUAAGUGCAGUUUUAAGUUUUCCUGUGUCAUACUGUAACGGUAGGGCUGGCUCUGCAAUUAUUGCCCUGCGGUACUUUGCCGCAGUUAUAGCACAGCAAAUAUUAGGAUUUCUAAAACAGCUUUAUUGGUAAUUCACAUGCCAUGUAAUUCACCCACUCAAAGUAUAUAGUUCAGUGGUUUUUAGUAUAUUCACAGAUGUUGGGAACCAACACUCCAAUCAAUUUUAGAAUUGUUUUUCCACCUCAAAAAAAAUUACAAAUGAAAUCCUAUGCCCUUUACCUUAUUUUAUUUCUAUUUAUUUAUUUUUUUAAGAGAUGGGGUUUUGCUCAGUCAACCAGCCCAGGCUGGAGUGCAGUGGUGUAAUCAUAGCUUAGUGCAGUCUUGAACUACUGGGCUCAAGCAAUCCUCCCAUCUCAGCCUCCCUAGUAGCUAGGAGUACAGGCAUGGACCACAACAUCCUGCCUCCUGUGCCUUUAGCUUUCAAUUCCGUCUCUCCACAUCCAUCAUCUGCAUCCCCGCAGUUGUAGCGCUGGCAAUCACCAAUCUUUCUGCCUCUGGAUUCCCUAUUACAUGUGUUUCAUAUAAAUGGGAUUAUCUAUCAUAUGGGAUUUGUUACUGGAUUCUGUCACUUGGCAUAAUGCUUGCAAGGUUUGUCUAUGCCGUAACAUGUAUCAGUACUUACUUUUUAUGGCCACAUGAUACUUUGUUACAUGGAUACACUGGAUUUUGUUUAUGCACUUGUCAGUUAAUGGACACUUAGGACAUUGUUUACCCCUUUUGGCUAUUACGAAUAAUGCUGCUAUAAACGUUGGUUUACAAGUUUUUGUGUAGACAUUUCUCUUCGGUGUUUAUCUAGGAGCAGAAUUGCUCAGAUGCAUGAUAACUGUCUAAUUGAGGAACUGCCAAACUGCUUUUUGAAAUGGCUGCAUUAUUUUUUAUUCCCUCCAGCAGUAUAUUAAAAUUUCAGUUGCUCCAC
ensembl:lncRNA FLJ43315 asparagine synthetase pseudogene